GAUGAACGCUGGCGGCAGGCUUAAUACAUGCAAGUCGAACGGUAACAUGUUGUAGCAAUACAAUGAUGACGAGUGGCGCACGGGUGCGUAACGCGUAUGCAACCUACCUACAACCGGAACAAAACGUCGAGAAAUUGGCGCUAAUAUUCCAUGUGUAUUUACAAUGGCAUCAUAAUAAAUAUAAAGAACUUUGGUUAUAGAUGGGCAUGCGUAUCAUUAGCUAGUUGGCGGGGUAACGGCUCACCAAGGCGACGAUGAUUAGGGGUUCUGAGAGGAAAAACCCCCACACUGGAACUGAGACACGGUCCAGACUCCUACGGGAGGCAGCAGUAGGGAAUAUUGGGCAAUGGAAGGAAUUCUGACCCAGCCAUGCCGCGUGCAGGAAUACAGUCCUAUGGACUUUAAACUGCUUUUAUUAUAGAGUAAUUUGGGGGACGUGUCCCCCACUGCAAGUAUAUAAUGAAUAAGCAUCGGCUAACUCCGUGCCAGCAGCCGCGGUAAUACGGGGGAUGCAAGCGUUAUCCGGAUUUAUUGGGUUUAAAGGGUGCGCAGGCGGAUCGGUAAGUCAUGGGUGAAAAGUCACUGCUUAACAGUGAUCGUGCCUAUGAUACUGCCGGACUAGAGUUUAAGAGGUGUAACUGGAAUGUGAUGUGUAGCGGUGAAAUGCUUAGAUAUGUCACAGAACGCCAAUCGUGAAGACAGGUUACAAACUUAAUACUGACGCUCAUGCACGAAAGCGUGGGGAUCAAACAGGAUUAGAUACCCUGGUAGUCCACGCUGUAAACGAUGAUCACUCGUUGUUGGGUAGUAAUAUUCAGUGGCUAAGCGAAAGCGAUAAGUGAUCCACCUGGGGAGUACGAUCGCAAGGUUGAAACUCAAAGGAAUUGACGGGGGCCCGCACAAGCGGAGGAGCAUGUGGUUUAAUUCGAUGAUACGCGAGGAACCUUACCCGGGCUUGAACGUAAGACGAAUAUACAGGAAACUGUAUAGCCUACGGGCGUCUUGCGAGGUGCUGCAUGGUUGUCGUCAGCUCGUGCCGUGAGGUGUUAGGUUAAGUCCUGCAACGAGCGCAACCCUUACACAUAGUUGCCAGCACGUAAAGGUGGGGACUCUAUGGGAACUGCCUACGCAAGUAGAGAGGAAGGUGGGGAUGACGUCAAAUCAGCAUGCCCUUUAUAUCCUGGGCGACACACGUGCUACAAUGGCCGGUACAAAGAGACGCAAGCCUGCGAAGGCAAGCAAAACUCGUAAAGCCGGUCUCAGUUCGGACUGAAGUCUGCAAUUCGACUUCACGAAGGCGGAAUUGCUAGUAAUCGCAGAUCAGCAUGCUGCGGUGAAUACGUUCCCGGGGUUUGUACACACCGCCCGUCAAACCAUGAGAGCUGGUAAUGCUUGAAGCCGCUGUUCCAACCGUAAGGGGGAAGGCGUCUAGGGCAGGAUCGGUGAUUGGGGUU
rnacentral:rRNA from 1 species